GGUCCUGCCAGAGGGUCUCUGCUAGUGGGCCAAAGCAUGCAGGAGCUUCUAGGCCAUGGGGAAGCACUUUCCCAAACAAUGCCCUCCUUCUGGAUCCCUGUCCGGAUGCUUGUUUGGGGUUGGGCUCCCACAGGCCCAGCACAGGUCUCAGCUGAACCCUCUCUGUGGCUCUGCUCCCAGCCUGGCCUGCUUUCCCUGGAGAGUCCUUCCCCUAGGUCACAGCUGCCAAAGCAGCUGCAAGGGUGAAGGAAGCUGCUGGCAGGUCCUGCCUGGGACCUCCUCUGGGGCCCAAACCAGAGCUGCCCACUCAGCCAUGGGGCCAAGAGAAACUGGAGACAGUCUCCAGAAUCGCAGUCAAGGGCCAUCUCCCUGGGGGAUUCGCAAGCAAUUCAUGAUCAUUUAAAAGUCUGUUCAUCUGAGCCUCCGCCCAAUGAACCGGGGACAAGUUUUCCCCAACAGUUUUCUGAUGUCAUAAGUGGGAUGUGGCAGAACACCGAGCUGGUGGCUUGAACAGUCUGGGGACACAGCUGACACCCGUGGCGCCAAAACUCAGAGGUUAGUGCUGCUUUACCGAUCCCUACUGAUAUUCCUUGCCACUCCUUAAGCCCUGGGGACUGGGUCCUUGUAAAGGAGUUCCAACGGAAAGACUGCUUGCAGCCCAGGUGGAGUGGACCUUAUCAAGUUUUGUUAACAACCAACACUGCUGUAAAGGUUGAGGGAAAACCUGCCUGGAUCCAUGCAUCUCACUGCAGAAGAACUGUAACACCAGAGCAAGAAGACCUCCAACAGACAACAGCUGUAUCCCAACCAAGGUUAAAACCUUUCCCUGAGGCUGAGGACAAAGACCCUCAGGACCUCACUCAAUCAAGUGAGAAGUAUCAAGGUGCAAGUAAUAGUGAUCUUGCUGGUGAACCUAACACCCUGAUUCAGCUGAAUCCACCAGUUGAAGAGCGAAGGUAUUAUCUGCGGCCUCGAAAGAAGUAAAUGCAUCCAUUUGGAAGAUCACCACCUCGACCAAAACCAAGAGCCGAAGUUAUCAGUCCUCUCGGUAACUUAGGCCCAGAAAAUGAGGAAAAACUUUGGUUACCCUCUUGGAUGUGGCUGGUAGUAGGUUUUGUCCUACUGGUGUGGGUAGUGUUCAUUGUUGAAAUAUUUUGUCCUUUCUGUUUUUUUAAACUGAUUAGUGCUAUUGACAUCAAGGUGAACAAACAGACAACGAAAACCAGAAGAGUUGCCUGCAGAGGCAAGCCAAAUAAUACUUGCCAACAUGAUUGAAAAACUUGUCAUAACUGCUGUCUUGUUUAGCUCAAUUGCUUUAAGCACUGCAAAUGUUUACUUAAGUCUGCUGCAGAAAGUAUCAAAAGCUCUAAAUGAAUCAGAUUGCUGGGUAUGCGGCCUGAGUCCUAGGACUCAUAGCAAAGGAUUCCUCAUGAUCCCUCACCCCUUAAGUUUAGAGCCGAAUAGAAAUAGAGUGAUCCUUCUUUUGAAGGAUCAAAGGGGGGAAUGAAGGGGGAAUAAAAUGGAGUUGAAUUGCCAUUAUGUAUAAGCAAGCAGAUCACGUAUGUUGCUUAAGCUAUGAGGAAGUUAAAGGACAUGACCCAAAACUGCUAGGCUAGGGCGAACUGGAACAAUCCUGUCCUAGUCCAGUAAAAGCAGAAACUUAGUGUAGAAGUAGCCAUGUACUGGCUUGCUGAGUCAGCCCAGAACGGGAAGUGACCCUGUGGUUACAAGCUAGAAGAAACCAGUUAAACUAACACUGCUAUACUAAAAAUAAGUAGAUACAUGUGCAUUACUAUCUAAGUCAUGGCAAAUGCUGAUUGGUGUAUGCUGUUGCUGUGCUUAUGAUGUCAUAUUUUCUAAAUAAACUCGCCUCACCUAUUGUAUGGGGUCAGACAUCUUCACAAUUCUCCAACUGUGUAUGAGUCUGUCCAGAAUGCAUUCUCUAA